GUAAACUCACACCGCUGCCCCAUCAAGUCCUGGGUUUAGAAGAGCCUGGUUCCUUCCAGCGUAAUGUCACGUUGUUUCGUCGAGCGGAACACAAACUCACGAUCCUGGGCUCGAAGCAACGGAGUGAUGGCCGGCCGGUUUUGAUUCGGCGGUGCUGUGGAAGAGUUCGGUGCGCGCAAUUUCAACUUUGCAAGCUCGUUUAUCAAGCCUCAGCGACGUCGCGUCAGGAAUGAACUCCAGCAGAGGGCGGCUUCAGGCUGCAUCUCGCAGCUUGAAGCCGUCUCUCUCGAGUUUCCAAGUGUCUAUUCGCCGAACAAGCGGAGUCGCCGUAUAGCAUCAGAAAGCUCAGCCUUACCUUGUCCAGGUCCUCUUCAGUAACUUUUCCAGCGCCAACAACGUCCAGUUUUGAUCCAACUCCACCAAUUUCAGAGCGCAGCGACCUUAGCUCUGUUAGCACCUGCUAAUGCGUCAUGCCGCAGGAUUUUGACUCCUGAGAUCCGCGCUAUCAGUGGCCUACACAGGAGGUGACGGUGACCGGCACAGUUGUUCUACACUUGUCGACCUCCAGAAUGAUCUCUUCAGCCUCUACCUCACAGACAUCUUGCAGCUUACCUGCAACACACAAUGGUCUAUAUCAGAACAACACACAAGAUUUGUUCAUUUUGAAAGAUCCAUUGUGACCAGUCACUGACAGGACUUGCAGCAUCCAUCAGCAUCAGUUGUCUCUGUACCCUGCAAAUGGAAAGAAAUAAAAGUUGACUUUUUACUUGCUGACAUUAACCUAUCACAGUAGAAAUGUUUGGAUACAGAGUCAGAUGGUUUGGAUAUGGCAACAUGUAGGACGAAAACGGUUCUAAAUUGUGGUGGUAAAACAAAGGAGGAAAUGCCAAAUUACAAAGAAGAAGAUGUCCAACUCACAGGUUCGCAGUCAUCCGGGUUGAAGGGAGCACAGGCCUUGACCAUCUCGAUGGUCAUCAGUGUAUCACUGAUCCUAUCGCAAGUAUAUUUGACACAAGGAUCGUCUGGGGAAAAAUAAGUCUCAUUGACCUGUAGGAAUGGAAGAGAACCACAAAUUGACCAAAGAUGUCUACGCAGAAUUCUGAUAAAGAAGUGGUUUAGUAUAAAUUCAAGAGGCGUCAAAACAUACCCCAAUGAGGCGAGUUGAA